GUUCCCUUAAAUCGUAAACGUAGGACAUUAAGAUUAAUUUUGAAAAAUUACGAAAUGAACCGUAUUUAUAAUAAAAAAACAUAUUUUAUCACUUGAGAAUAAUAUCAACCAGUUAAUAGCCGGCUACCAAUUAUCAGCUAAAAGAAAAAAAAAUACAUAUAAUACCAUAAAAAAAAUAAAUAGUAGUAAAUGCUUACUAAGAACGUAGUUUUUAUGAAUAUUUAAUUAACAUAGUUUAUAAUUUACAAAUAUUAUAGUUGAUACAAUGAGAUAGUUUUUGAUUAUUCAAGCAGUUCUCAUAAUAAUUGGGAGAAACAAAAAAUUACGUAUAAAUAAAUUUACGAUAUAUUAAUUUCAUUAGGUACAUUGUUUUUCUAUCAAAAAUUUUGUUCCGAAUUUCAAGAAAAGUUUCUUUUUUGAAAGACAAUUUUGUCUAGUUGGUGUAUUUGAAGAUCGUUUUGGGCUAUUUUAGGCAUUUGACAUUUUCGAGUUUUGUUUUUGUCUGUAUUUAUGCGGAUGAAAUUGCUUGCACAAACAUAAUAAGUUGAGAGUUAUUAAGCAGUUUUUUAAAAUCGUUCUAAGGUUAAAUUUUGACGAAAAUAGUAAAAUUGACGGCAUUUCUAAACAUGUAUAAUCGAACUUCGCUUUAAAAAUCAUUUUUCAUUAUAGCAAUGGUUUAUCGACGAUUGCAGAUACAAAUUGUGUAACAAUAUGUAUCCUAACUUUUUUUAAAUUGUUUACAUCAUAUAAAACUCGUUGCAGUUUCGAUCAUUUCCAUUAACAACGCAAUAUCGUAUUCGAGUAUUAUUAUUACUAUUUUUUUCAUUAUUCCAACU